CUUGACCUGGCCUAUUUGUGUAUGUGUCCUACUCUGUCGAUGAGCCGCCAUAGACACACGUACAGUGGAUGUAACGGUAAUAUAAGAAGGCAACAUUACACAAUCGUCUUGGAUCCCUAUUCCUAAUUUAGCAAAUUUUCAAAAUGGCGGCUCACUCAAUUCGUCGCGCCACUCACGACGACUUCGAUGAGUUGAUGCAGAUUGGUGAUGUGUACCAGGGGAUGGACUAUCUCGGGCAUCGCUACCACACAUACAUCGACGACCCAAACAACAGAUCAUACGUCUACGUGAUCGGAGAUGAAAAUAUUGCCCUUUGCUCAGCAUUCAUCAUCGAUGAUGGGCAGACCUUCAUGAUCAGAGGAGCCCGGACGAAGGAAGGUUUCCGAGGACAAGGGAUCUACGGCAAACUCAAUAAAUACGUCUACGUCAGUAUGGGGAUAUACCGUCCAUCAAAUAUGACGUGAUGACGACCGGCAAUCACAACUACGACGCUAAUAAAGAUCACCUGUUAAGAAAACACACAGAAUUAAAUAGAAAGAGCCUGGUUCAUGGUCGAUUCAAGAUGUCAGACACACAUGUUCGUGAGCUAGAAGGACCAUAUCCGGUCUUGCAGGAAAUGACGUCAAGUGAUCUACUGGACCUCUUUGUUCUGAAGAAUCACGCAAAAGUCUUUUUCCAGUGAAAAAAAUUGUGAUAGAUUGGACACCACUCCGCUUCCUCCCCAGCAAUAUGAAGUACAUCUUGGAACCGGAAGCACUGUGUCUGAGGUCAAAAGGCAAUAAAGGCGAAACAACAUUACUCACGUUUGGCACGCCUAGCAACUGCGAACUGGGCCUCCGGUACGGCAUGGAUAUAUUUGGAGAUGACUUCGCAGAUUUUCCGUAUCACGUGAAACGGCAUAUGAGUCACGUGGUCACCCUGGCGCAAGGUCACGUGUUCCUGCAGAUGGUUAUAGAGGAGAGGUUCAGGGAAAACGCCGUCAAUGUUCUCCCACUUUUAAACCUCCCACCUUUCGAGCUUUCAUGGACAACCCAGAUUAACUUUGAAACUACAUUUAAAGUUGUAAAAUGAUGAACCUGCUCUGACUGAUGAUGUUUUUGCAAACACCUGCUUUUAUCACUAUUUGAUAGUGAUUCAUAACCACAUGCUUAUGCUUUGUGCAAUGGGCUCUGCUUUUAGAAGAGAUUCCGUAUGCUUUGGGAAAACUUUGUAUCAGUGCAUUAUAUUGUAUGAAUAUUUUUUUUUUCAGUAAGUGGGCCAUGGAGAAUACUACAGUUAUUCUUGUUAAAUACUAUUUUUACGAAACGAGUGGACUUUCUAUGAUAUCUGACCGAGCUGCAUUAUCUUUUA